AGUCGAGCGGCAGCGGGAAGUAGCUUGCUACUUUGCCGGCGAGCGGCGGACGGGUGAGUAAUGUCUGGGAAACUGCCUGAUGGAGGGGGAUAACUACUGGAAACGGUAGCUAAUACCGCAUGACCUCGCAAGAGCAAAGUGGGGGACCUUCGGGCCUCACGCCAUCGGAUGUGCCCAGAUGGGAUUAGCUAGUAGGUGGGGUAAUGGCUCACCUAGGCGACGAUCCCUAGCUGGUCUGAGAGGAUGACCAGCCACACUGGAACUGAGACACGGUCCAGACUCCUACGGGAGGCAGCAGUGGGGAAUAUUGCACAAUGGGCGCAAGCCUGAUGCAGCCAUGCCGCGUGUGUGAAGAAGGCCUUAGGGUUGUAAAGCACUUUCAGCGAGGAGGAAGGGUUCAGUGUUAAUAGCACUGUGCAUUGACGUUACUCGCAGAAGAAGCACCGGCUAACUCCGUGCCAGCAGCCGCGGUAAUACGGAGGGUGCAAGCGUUAAUCGGAAUUACUGGGCGUAAAGCGCACGCAGGCGGUUUGUUAAGUCAGAUGUGAAAUCCCCGAGCUUAACUUGGGAACUGCAUUUGAAACUGGCAAGCUAGAGUCUUGUAGAGGGGGGUAGAAUUCCAGGUGUAGCGGUGAAAUGCGUAGAGAUCU
rnacentral:rRNA from 1 species